rnacentral:lncRNA from 1 species
UGUCUCCUGAGUGGCUGUAUCUGCUUUUCUCAGCCAGCUCCUGUGGGAUGUAACUCGGAUGUGAUGUCUGUUGAGACCCUACCUCUACAGUCUGAAAGGAUGUUACACGGCUGCAAGUAAAACAAUCCACUUAAGGCCUUUUGCUGCUUCUCCAUCACCAUCCAUAGUGCCAAAGACCACUGUGCCUAGGAUCCAAACAAGUUCAUGCAGUUGCAAGAGAAGAGCACUUCAUCUCGGGAUGUACCACUGGCCUACAGCUUCCCUGAGGUGGGGGAUGGGAAACAACGCUACAGGGCAUGCCUGGUGUCCAUCAGAAGCCAUCUGAAAUACAGAAACUGACCAAUGGAAUGGAAGCAAGGAAUAGUAGAUAAUGGAAAAUGGAGUCCAAGCAAGCAUCAAGAGAGAGCUGGAAGGAAAGAGAGCCAGUGUAGAAAACAGAAAAAAGAAAAAAAAACUAUAAUUUUCCAAAAGAGAAGGCUAGUAUGAAAAAUCUGAAUACCACAGAAGAAUGUUUGUAAGUUGAAAUGUGACAGAAGCACAAAUUUUAAAAUAUUUGAAGGAAAAAGAAAAGAUAAACACACAUAGUUACAAGAAGAUAAUAUAAAGAAAA